rnacentral:pre_miRNA from 1 species
AUGUUUAACCAUCCGUCUUAUCUAAAAUUUUUUAUGAUUAGUAUUUUUAUUGUUAUUAGACUAUAAAACAUGAAUAAUAAUUUAUGUGUGACUAAUUUUUUUAUAAAAUUUUUAAAUAAAACAGACGGUCAAAAGU